AGAGUUUGAUCCUGGCUCAGGAUGAACGCUGGCGGCGUGCUUAACACAUGCAAGUCGAACGGACGCUUGGGGUAACUUGAGCGUUAGUGGCAAACGGGUGAGUAACACGUGGGUGACCUACCUCAAAGUGGGGAACAACAGACCGAAAGGUUUGCUAAUACCGCAUAUGCUCGGUGGUUCAUUUUGCCGAGUAAAGCCGUAAGGCGCUUUGAGAGGGACCCGCGUCCCAUCAGGUAGUUGGUGAGGUAAUGGCCUACCAAGCCGAUGACGGGUAGCUGUUCUGAGAGGAAGAUCAGCCACAAUGGAACUGAGACACGGUCCAUACUCCUACGGGAGGCAGCAGUGAGGAAUAUUGCACAAUGGACGAAAGUCUGAUGCAGCGACGCCGCGUGGGCGACGAAGGCCUUCGGGUUGUAAAGCCCUUUUGGCAGGGACGAGUGAGGACGGUACCUGUCGAAUAAGUCUCGGCUAACUACGUGCCAGCAGCCGCGGUAAAACGUAGGAGGCGAGCGUUAUCCGGAUUUACUGGGCGUAAAGCGUGCGUAGGCGGUUGGUCAAGACAGAUGUUAAAGCCCCUGGCUCAACUGGGGGAGGUCAUUUGAUACUGGCCGGCUUGAGGGUGAGAGAGGAGAGUGGAAUUCCCGGUGUAGCGGUGGAAUGCGUAGAGAUCGGGAGGAACACCAGUGGCGAAAGCGGCUCUCUGGCUCACUUCUGACGCUGAGUGCACGAAAGCGUGGGGAGCAAACGGGAUUAGAUACCCUGGUAGUCC
rnacentral:rRNA from 1 species